UUAGAAGAUGCGCUGAAAUAUCUACACGCAGCCAAGCCCUAUAACGUUAGUAGCUCAUAUACGGGAACGCUUAUCGAUGGGUCAUGAAUCCCGUAAGAAUUGUUGUCGUAUGUUACCUACCUCUCAUCAUUAUUGGAGAAACUCUUCAAGAUCUCAAGGAUGCACUGAAUACACGUCAGAGAAUUUGGACCUGUUUCAAGAAGCUACCAUCCUGGAGACUACAGCCAUAAACAGAAGUGCAUAUAUUUCGAAGCGCGUUUAACAAAACGCGCCUACUACAUAUUAGACCUGCACUACGAGGCGGGUGACAUUUGGAGGAGCCAGCGAAAUUACGCAAAGAUAUUUCUUUCCAAAGGUGAACCAAUAAUGCGAGUGGGCCCAGAUCUCGCAAGAGGAACGUCCGACUACAUGCUCCAUUGCUGGAUACCUCAAGAGAGAUGUGCCGUUAUGCUUCUGACAUUAGCAGGCAAAGUUCAAUGUGAGAUGCACACGUGGGAGGAUCACGUUCGAAGUACUGUGCCCCAGUGUCAAAAGGCAUAUGAAAGCCGUUGUGGCAAAAGGCAAUACAAGAUAUACAGCUCUAGUUGUCAUCCGUGAUUAGAAAAAUUACCACUCCUCUUUGGGAACGUUCCUAUUUUGGAACGUUCUACGGCGUAAGGUAAUGUGCAAUAAAAUGAAUUACACAACCCUGU